rnacentral:rRNA from 1 species
AUUGAACGCUGGCGGCAUGCUUUACACAUGCAAGUCGAACGGUAACAGGCCUUCGGGUGCUGACGAGUGGCGAACGGGUGCGUAAUGCAUCGGAACGUGCCCAGAGGUGGGGGAUAACGCAGCGAAAGCUGUGCUAAUACCGCAUGUGAUCUGAGGAUGAAAGCGGGGGACCAGGCAGCAAUGUUUGGCCUCGCGCCUUUGGAGCGGCCGAUGUCAGAUUAGGUAGUUGGUGGGGUAAAGGCCUACCAAGCCGACGAUCUGUAGCUGGUCUGAGAGGACGACCAGCCACACUGGGACUGAGACACGGCCCAGACUCCUACGGGAGGCAGCAGUGGGGAAGUUUGGACAAUGGGCGCAAGCCUGAUCCAGCAAUGCCGCGUGCGGGAAGAAGGCCUUCGGGUUGUAAACCGCUUUUGUACGGAACGAAAAGGCUCUGGCUAAUACCUGGGGCUGAUGACGGUACCGUAAGAAUAAGCACCGGCUAACUACGUG